GCUAUAAAAGAUGUAAACUUCUAAUUUAUUUUCCAAGCAUAUUUGUUUUAGUC
rnacentral:tRNA from 1 species